rnacentral:rRNA from 1 species
GACAGAGGCCUCAAGCGUUAGGCGGAAUCACUGGGCUUAAAGCGUGUGUAGGCGGAUCGUUAAGUGUCUUGUGAAAUCCCACGGCUCACCCGUGGAACUGCUGGGCAUACUGGCGAUCUUGGGCCAACUAGGGGCAACUGGAACAAGCGGUGGAGCGGUGAAAUGCGUAGAUAUCAGGAGGAACACCAAUUGCGAAGGCAGCUCGCUGGGACGUUACUGACGCUGAGACGCGAAAGCGUGGGGAGCAAACAGG